rfam:Myotis brandtii contig217716, whole genome shotgun sequence.
GGCAGUUCUCGGGUGAUGCACCCCGGAAUUGGGCUCCUUCCUCUGGUUCUGGGUGUGUCACCCGAGAACCGCU